rnacentral:rRNA from 1 species
GAUGAACGCUGGCGGCGUGCCUAAUACAUGCAAGUCGAGCGAACAGACGAGGAGCUUGCUCCUCUGACGUUAGCGGCGGACGGGUGAGUAACACGUGGAUAACCUACCUAUAAGACUGGGAUAACUUCGGGAAACCGGAGCUAAUACCGGAUAAUAUAUUGAACCGCAUGGUUCAAUAGUGAAAGACGGUUUUGCUGUCACUUAUAGAUGGAUCCGUGCCGCAUUAGCUAGUUGGUAAGGUAACGGCUUACCAAGGCAACGAUGCGUAGCCGACCUGAGAGGGUGAUCGGCCACACUGGAACUGAGACACGGUCCAGACUCCUACGGGAGGCAGCAGUAGGGAAUCUUCCGCAAUGGGCGAAAGCCUGACGGAGCAACGCCGCGUGAGUGAUGAAGGUCUUCGGAUCGUAAAACUCUGUUAUUAGGGAAGAACAAAUGUGUAAGUAACUAUGCACGUCUUGACGGUACCUAAUCAGAAAGCCACGGCUAACUACGUGC